UAGGGAUAAUUAACAGUACCUCCAACUUUGUUGGCGCUAUCGCGGGCAGCGAAGGCAAGAACGUCGGCACAUGACACAGUGUUGGGACAAACAGCUUCAAUUUUCGCCUUGGCUUCAUCAAUAACCUCAAAACCUCGUAAGGUUGGAAAGUUUGCAACAUGAUAUUUCUCAGAUGGAUUUCCAGGAGUCGAUUCUAGAAGCACAGAAGCAUCACAUCCCUGAAAAAUUACGAAACAAAAGAGAGACAUAGAAGUCAAUUUUUUAUUUUCCUAAAUAAUAUUUGGGUGGGCUCAAAAAGUACAAAGAUGGAUAUCUAAAUUCAAGUUUUUUUUUUUUUUUUUUUUGACAAAUAACGCAUCUGUGUCAUAUUAAAAGUGAGGUUAAAUUACAAAAAUUUGGUCCUUACCGAACGAAUUUUUCAUGUAAUUAUGAAAGUUAAUAUUCAUUUUUGUCAAAUAGUAUCAUUAUAAUUUAUAAGGUUUUAUUAAACGGAAAAACUUUGAAUGAAACGUACCCUAACAAAACAGUCGUGGAAGUGCAUUCUAAUGAGACCUGCAGCAAUGCCGGGGUUUCUAGAGACGGCUUUGUCUACUGCAUCUUCAACAAUGGUCUCAGCAUCCGGACAAGAUGAACUAUAGAAACCUACUCUGAGGCUUGUAGAAGCAAAAGUAGAUAGGGAAAAGAAGAAGAAGAUGCAUAGGAGCUUGGAGAAAAGUGCUUGGAAUAACUUAUGGGACGAAGAAGAAUUAGCCAUUGUAAAGAAGAGCCAAAUAAGAAGGAUGUUUUUAGGCAAUGAUGUUAUUGAUUUGUUUGGUAAUUUUGAUGAAGAAAUUAGGUGUGUUUAUGAUGCAUAUUUAUAGCAUGAGGAUAUGUUGUGUUGAAAAAUGAUGAUGAAAUCAAAAAGGUGGCUAAAGUUACAUGAAGUUGUCUAAGUUUGAAAUUUUAUAUAUUAUUUGUCAUCUACGUAUUUAAAAAUAAUUAUAAAAAUAUAUAAUAAAUGGAAGGGGGAAUUUAUAUAUAGAGAGAGAAUUAUUGACUUAUAAGGAAAAACAAAACCCUAGUGGGGAAUUUUAAAAUAAGUUUACUUAGCAAAAAAUGGAUUGCUUGAGGCUGCUUUGAACCAAGAAUUAGAGUACAUUGUAUAUAGAGACAUUAAUAAUAUAUAUUUGCAUGACCAAAUAUAUGUAAAAUAACAUCUCCUUUCGUAUCUCUUUCCUAACAGAGAUUAUUAAUUAAUAUGACUCACGCUUAAUUAGAAUAUAAGUAGAUGUAUAAGAGAAUGAUAGAAGAAUAUUAAAAUAUACAAACAAAUUUUCAAUAUUUUGUUAUUAAGGGAAAGAUUACAUGUUUUAACCACAAAAUUUCAAUCCCAUACCAAAUUCAUCUUCGGAACUAAACCAGUAGAUUGGUUAUUAUUAUUGUGUAGGGUUAGUUUUCAAAUAUAAAAACUUGAAUAAAAUUAGUUACAAAAUAUAGUAAAAUUUCAUAUUCUAUUAAUGAUUGACACGAUAAACUUCCUAUAAUUGGUGUCUAAUUUUUCCAUUUGAAAUAGUCUUUUAAUUGUUUUUUAUGUUUUUUUCUAUAAAAAAAAUUAUUCAUUUUGAAAUAGUCUAAUGUUGAAAUUUGGUUAGUUAAAAAACGUGGGAAAAGAGAUUAUUAAUGCAUAUUAAUAAAAUAAUGUGUAUUACAAAGUUUCAACAACCAAAGUAAUAAAUUAGAAGAUCCAUCGCUAACACACAAUCGCUCAUCUACCAGCCACGAUCGUUCAUAGCUCACCAACAUGUAGCAGCCACGAAAUCUAUAUCAGAGAAGCAGGAAACAAAGCAGUCCAUCAAUUCUGCUGAUUAAUCAAGAAAUCAAAUCCCUUGAAUCAAGAAGAUUUGAGUUACCCAUCACCAAAAAAUCUUCCUCAUUAUUUUCCUUUCGUUAUGUAUGUAUCUACUGGAAGAGAGUGGUACUUAUAUACAACUUAACAUUUGUGAGUCUUGUUUUUGCUGUCAUGUUCUUAUGAAUUCACUGUAUAAUAAAAUAUAUAACAAAACUUAUAAGUAAUAGACAUGUAUUACUGGUAGACUCUUAUGAUCUAUUAGUGAUAGAUCAAUUAUAUUUGCAACAUGGUCUAUCAACGAUAGAACUCAUGUUAAUCUAAUAUAGUUUAUAAGCUGAUGAAGUCUAAAAAGAUGAAAAUUGGAAUGUAUGAUUCAAGAAUGGUGAAAUGAAAUAAGUGCAUCUUAAACAACAUCUUAAAGAUCCACGUCAGAAAAAUCGAAUGACCUAAAUUAUUUUUUUAUUUUAGAGUAUAUGAACUCGACCUUUUUUUCGAGUCAACAAAUACAUUGGCUCUAAACAAAAUUUGAUAACUAUAGUGGAGAAGCUCGAGUGAGCCAACGUAUCUCUUUCUAGAAAAAAAAAACAAAAUUUGAUGAAGCCAACCCUACCAUAAUAAUGAUAUUUUGAUAUGAAUCCAACUCAAGCACUAAUACCCCUUGAAAGUAAAAGAUUUCAUUUCAUGGAAUACUCAGAAAAUAAAGAUCUUACACACUCCACCAAGAAUAUCCCUCUCAAUUGUGGUCGUUGCUGGAUUUGGAUAUGAUUUUUUCACUAUUCAAUUAAUUUAAGAAAUUUACAAUCAAACAUAAACGAAAAAAUAAACAUAAACAAUAAAGAAUUAUCAAAUGAUUAUAAUUUGCAUGAAUCACGUAAUACUGUAUUGACUGUAUUUAUACGUUUACUUAGUAGAAUAUCAAAUUGUAAAUUCAAAUGUAUUUUAGAUAAUUGAUAGAGUAGACUUGAUAGUGCUACAGAGGUGUUCACUUAGUGAAGAUGACCUACUACAUUUACUGAUUCAUUCGUACCUUUCUUUUUUUAAAAAAAUUGAUAGAGUAGACUAACAUUUAACCUUAAGCCGAAAUCAUAUAUAACGCAAAUAUAAGAACACAACUUUAAGUUAAAUUAAAGUUUAAGACAUGUUGUAAAACUUUACGAGAACAAAUAGAGAACAAAUAUUGAAGGCAUCAUGUAUUCAAAUAAAUUAAAAUAUCAUUCAUUAGAAAAGGAAUUACAAAGAGCUUCAUAUAUGACAACAAAAAAAUUCCAACAAUGCAUAAAUAAAGAGAGAAAGUAUACACACUUAUUGUCUUAAACGAUGAAAAGAAAUCAACAAAUUUGCACAAAACAAUAACAUUUUAACAUAUAUAAAACACACACACCAAAGUUCUUCUUUCCUUGCAGAUUAAACAUGUGAUCACCAAAGAAAGCUUCGAAAUCAAUUCACAAAGCUGCAUUGGCGUCUGAUCUCUCCCUUGGAUCCUGUAAGGACAUCAAUUUUGCCCAUUUUAACCAUUGCCUUCCCAAACUUGGUUGCCCAUUUGGACCCAUAAUGGGCAUUUCUCAACACCAUUUUUGAAGUCAAUGAACUGCUCAACAAUGUCUGAUCGGAGAUCAGCAGCCCACGGUGGUUCUUUAGCUCGAUGUAGUAACGGUUAUCCAAACGAUGCGGGGUUGAAAAAUCAAGAUCCACGUCUGGCUGCUGACUCCCGUCAUCACCAGAGCUACUUGGCUGUGGGCAUUUGCUCUUCAAGUAAUCAGCAUAUGAGGGGUCCAAGGAAGGGUCUUGUGCAUGAGUUGUAUUGAAGGAAUAUAGCCUGCCAACAAAGGUAGGGCAAUGAGCUAUUCCUAUGGAAUGGGCACCGGAAAGAGUCACCAUCUCCUCCACUGACAACCCUCGUUUUCCGAACUCACUAGCCAGCCUCUCGGCAUGGAAAGUAAAACCAGGGAGAGCGUUAGCAUCUUCCUUUCUCGAGAUGAAUCCAUCACGACGGCCUGCUGGUACGGCAUAGUUAAUACCUGGUACAAAUAUGAGUAGAGAAGAUUUAAAUGUAUUGUAAUGUAUCAAAUUUUCAAAAAAAACUAUUGUAAUAUAUCAAAGUUUAAGCUUUUGAAUUUAAUCAGUUAGGGAUAAUUAACCGUACCUCCAACUUUGUUGGCGCUAUCGCGGGCAGCGAAAGCAAGAACGUCGGCGCAUGACACAGUGUUAGGACAAACAGCUUCAAUUUUCGCCUUGGCUUCAUCAAUAACCUCAAAACCUCGUAAGGUUGGAAAGUUUGCAACAUGAUAUUUCUCAGAUGGAUUUCCAGGAGUCGAUUCUAGAAGCACAGAAGCAUCACAUCCCUGAAAAAUU
rnacentral:lncRNA from 1 species